rnacentral:rRNA from 1 species
CCUACGGGAGGCAGCAGUGGGGAAUAUUGGACAAUGGGCGAAAGCCUGAUCCAGCCAUGCCGCGUGUGUGAAGAAGGCCUUCGGGUUGUAAAGCACUUUCAGUGGGGAAGAAAGCCUUGGGGCUAAUACCCUCGAGGAAGGACAUCACCCACAGAAGAAGCACCGGCUAACUCCGUGCCAGCAGCCGCGGUAAUACGGAGGGUGCGAGCGUUAAUCGGAAUUACUGGGCGUAAAGCGCGCGUAGGCGGUCUGAUAAGCCGGUUGUGAAAGCCCCGGGCUCAACCUGGGAACGGCAUCCGGAACUGUCAGGCUAGAGUGCAGGAGAGGAAGGUAGAAUUCCCGGUGUAGCGGUGAAAUGCGUAGAGAUCGGGAGGAAUACCAGUGGCGACGGCGGCCUUCUGGACUGACACUGACGCUGAGGUGCGAAAGCGUGGGUAGCAAACAGGAUUAGAUACCCGGGUAGUC